UGCCACCACUGCCCGGUUAGAUUUUUUUCUUUUUAUUCACAUGUUUUUUUUCUCCUACAUGUAUGUAUAUGCAACACAUUCUGCCCCCAUGCAUUCAGAGAUUAGAAGAAGUCACUGUUGAAGCUCCUAAUGGUGUAUAUUCCCUAAACGAUGGGAAUCAGGGUGCUGGGUGGCAGAUGCAAUCUUGUUGGGAGUAUUCGAUCCUUUACACAGAUGGCUUGUCCUCUGUGUCCCUUGCCUUCUUUCAUGCAUUCCCUCUUGUUUUUGUCUCUUCUCUCUCCCACAAUCAAGAUGCGGGACCAAUUGUCCCCAAGAUCUCGGGUCUAGAGAGAAGCCAGAAGAACCAGGACUGUUGCAAAGAGCCCGUCUUUGAACCCAUGGUGCUCAAAAACCCACACCCUCAGCUCCCUCAGCUACCAUCCCUGCCCCAGGUCGAGACUCAGCUCCAGAUUCCAUCUCCAGACCCGGACUUGGUACCGCGCACCGAAGCUCCUCCCCAGUUCCCUCCUCCAAGUACACAGCCAGUCCAAGGACCCCCUGAAGCCAAACUGCAGCCUGCCCUGCUGCCUCAGGUGCAGCGGCCUCCCAGGCUUCAGUCCCCAGCCAUCUUCUCCAGCAGACCCUUCCAUCUGUGCAGUCACAUCCCUCCUCCCAGAGCCUCUCGAAGUUGCUUGUAGGCCUACAACAGCAGUAGCCUGAGCCUCAACAGCUUAAGCAGCAGCAGAAGCAGUAAUCCAGCAAAAACCCAGCCUGCCCCUCCUCACAUCUCCCACCACCCGUCUGCCUCCCCCUUCCCUCUCUCCCUGCUCAACCACAGCCCUCUACACAGCUUCACACCCAUCCUCCAUCCCCCUGCCCACUCACAUCACCCCAACAUGUUCGCUCCUCCCACUGCUCUGCCUCCUCCCCCACGGCUGAUGAUUGGAAGUCUGCAGGUGCCAGAGCAUCCAGCCUGGAGCAUGUACACAGAAUAAGAUAUCCUGAGGCAGGAACUGAACAUGCGUUUCCUGGCCUCUCAGAGUGCCAACUGAGGGGCAUCUCGGAAUCUCACAAUACUUCUUAUGUAGAGUAAGACUUAUUCGUCUUGAUGCUUGUGAUCCAUAUCCUUAUUCCUUCUUUCCUUCCUUCCUUCCUUCCUUCCUUCCUUCCUUCCUUCCUUCCUUCCUUUCUCCCUCCCUCUCU